rnacentral:sRNA from 2 species
UAAUAAUAUUCGCUUAAUCUUAAUUGAGCGGGGGAACCAACUGUACUUUUUUAACAAAAGUACCUGGGGUGAAUCCUUUUACAGGUAGGGUACUCUCAAGACCCGAACCCGACAGCUAACCUCGUAAGCGUGUUGAGAGGGAACAC